AUUGAACGCUUGCGGCAGGCCUUACACAUGCAAGUCGAGCGAGCGGCGGACGGGUGAGUAAUGUAUGGGGACUGCCCGAUAGAGGGGGAUAACUACUGGAAACGGUAGCUAAUACCGCAUACUAUCGGAUAACCCAUAUGGGAUUAGCUAGUAGGUGAGGUAAUGGCUCACCUAGGCGACGAUCCCUAGCUGGUCUGAGAGGAUGAUCAGCCACACUGGUCCUGAGACACGGCCCAGACUCCGACGGGGGCAGCAGGGGGGAAUAUUGCACAAGGGGGGCAAGCCUGAUGCAGCCAUGCCGCGUGUAUGAAGAAGGCCCUAGGGUUGUAAAGUACUUUCAGUCGGGGGGCGUUACCGGCAGAAGAAGCACCGGCUAACUCCGUGCCAGCAGCCGCGGUAAUUC
rnacentral:rRNA from 1 species